CAGAACUAGCUCUCCCAGUCUUCCACAUGAGCGGCAGAGAUACUGUCUAUACUAACAGGAGUUGCAUAAGUACCUAAAAAUAAUAAUUGCUAUAAAGUGGAACAAGUGGAACAGCAACAUUUACUACAAUGGCAAAAAUGUGCAGUUUGUUAUUUAUGAUCAAAACUGAAUAGUCGUCUGUCACUAUUGGGAAAGUGACUAGUAGCAAAAGAAAUAAAUGUCUCAUGAAUAGUUUCUAGUGAAAUUAACAGAUAGGCCACUACUAGGAUUACUUAGCCUACAUUAAAUUGUUAAAACGGCUUGCCAUACACAAACUGUCCAUUUUACGUAAUUUCUUUCCGUAUUUUCAUAUUUCCAGUUUAAUCCCAUAUCAUUUUUGAAUUGACUUCUUGGUGGGGAUCCCACACCACUGAAGGCCAAUCCGGUUUCCAUGUUGUCUGACCAAAUGCGUUACAAAAUAGCCUUUAGCUGCCUCCGUCGCGCGCUACCUUUGGCAUGAAACAGUUUUAUUCCGCUUUUUCUUGCUAUGGAAAAUUUCGUAGCAUAACAAAUAAAAUAAUAAUUGCUAUAAAGUGGAACAAGUGGAACAGCAACAUUUACUACAAUGGCAAAAAUGUGCAGUUUGUUAUUUAUGAUCAAAACUGAAUAGUCGUCUGUCACUAUUGGGAAAGUGACUAGUAGCAAAAGAAAUAAAUGUCUCAUGAAUAGUUUCUAGUGAAAUUAACAGAUAGGCCACUACUGGAUUACUUAGCCUACUACUAAGACUAAUAACAUUAAAAUAGAUACAAGUUAGUUUUAUAAGAAUAAAUGUUAAAACGGCUUGCCAUACACAAACUAGUCCAUUUUACGUAAUUACUUCCGAUUUUCUAUAAUUUUCCUACGUUUAAUUACCCACUAAAAGGCCAAUCCGGUUUCCAUGUUGUCUGACCAAAUGCGUUCAAAAUAGCCUUUAGCUGCCUCCGUCGCGCGCUACCUUUGGCAUGAAACAGUUUUAUUCCGCUUUUUCUUGCUAUGGAAAAUUUCGUAGCAUAACAAAGACCACAAAACGGUCGGUUCGUCAUCAGUCCCUCUGGACAGUGCAGCGCAUGUCGACCUCCUUCUUCACGGCAUGAUCUGUGGCUCGCAGAGAGAGGAGGAGCCGCAACCGGUGCAUCGCAUAUCGACUCCACCAGAUCAUCUGAGGCUGCCCUACUACACCAUGGAACAAAAAGGAUGGUGCCUACCACAGCCUGCUUCGUACUGAUAAAACAGUACAGAGGAGUCGUCUAAUGACUAUUUAUUUGACCGCCGUGGACCGAGCAUUAAAUGCAAGCAUUUGGAUCUAGCUGUAUGCUAUCUAGCACCAGGCGAAUUGUGUUUUCGAGAGCAGUUUGUUGCCCCGUGUGGAUUUGACGUCUGGGUUCUGCUGGAUGUUUAGGAAAAAUCAAGUGAAAGAGGUUGCCAUCAUUGUCCUACAAGAUGGAGUGCUUAACCGAAUUGGAGAAGUAUAAGAAGUGAGUACUACAGUUGCUAUGCGUUUGUUUUGGCACACAGAACAUAACUAAUGAGAACCUACAAGCACUACAGAUUUUAACCAGUUAGCCACUGAGCUACCUACUAAGUCAUUUUGCUGCUAGCUUGCUAACCCACCGUUCACAGUGACCCGUUUUCAGAGCAUAAAUCACAAGUCAAACCGUAAAAUUAUAUUUAAGAAAAAAAAUAGAUUGUAGAUAACCAGCUGAGCUCAACAAAUAAGUUAGCAUAUGAAAAAAUAACCAAUCAUAGACGUUUCAAAAGGUGACCAGAGCGACAGUUCACUUUGCUGUUAGCCAACGAGCUGAGGGAACUACUACAAGCAGGGAGCCAUCAAUAAAUGGAAAUAAGGUUAAUUUAAAUCAAAUGUGAUAUUCUUUGUUGUUAGAAAAUCACAGUGUGUCUAAAAUAGUAUUAGGCAAUACUGUAAUAUCAAGGUAUAUCGUGUUAUAUGUUCUGGAAACACAAGGGAAAACAGAUGCAGCGAGGCCUCCAUGCAGGCCUCAAAUCCACGAGAUAAAUUUUUUAGCUGCCCGCGGUUCAGGGUCAGAGGAUCUACGCGUUGCCAUUAUGAACCAAGCAGUCAGUGUUGGAGCUACUGGUGACUAACUGAAGGCCAUCCUGUUAGAGAACCUGAGUUUCUGACGUUGUGUUGUUAUUGUCAUCCACGUCAAUGACAACUGUAGACAAAAUAUUGCUAUGUUGUGCAAACAAA
rnacentral:lncRNA from 1 species